rnacentral:lncRNA from 1 species
CAAGUGCAGCCGAUCAGACGUGCCUAGGAAAGCGAUGAUGCCCAUCGAUUGGUGUGAACUUUCUAGAAACGUCUAGGAAACAGGAUGUUUGCGCUUGGGAUUUACCCACCAUAUUGUGAGGAAGCCUAUACUACAUGGAGAGGCCAUGUGAUGUUCCAGCCAACAGUACCGUGUCAGAUGCCAGCUGCCAGCCAGCAUCAACUCCAGACAGGCUUUAACUCUGUGCUGAAAAAGCAGAUGCCUAGAUCUGUGGGGGAACACACAGGGCAGCCCAAAUCCUCCUGAGGAUUCCAAGCUUGAGUCCUGUCAUUUCCAAGAUGGAACCAUGUAGUUGCAGGAAAACAAGUGCAAGGCUUCUACUGAUUCUACAUUAUGGAUACCCUGUUGGAACUUUCUACUCCAUAACAAGAAGCAGCGGACAUUCCAAUGAGUUUUAUGCAUAAGUGUCUGUACUCCUCCCUGACCAUGUGCUUCAGGAGACGCCAAUCCCAGCCCCAUUCCUAGACCACAGUGGCGAAUCAGUUUGAUCUAAGCCAAUCAUGUUGAUGCUAUUCUAGUUAGCUGUGAUUGGCUGAGGAAGAUGUGGGUUGAUGAAGAUAAUCCCCCCACUCUCCACAGCCACUGAGAAGAUUAGGUCCUUCUUUGGAUUUGAAUGUAUUUUUCUAUUAAUAUCUAUAAAUGUUUUCAAUCUCCAUAACACUAUUAUACUUUUGUUAGCUCAUGUCAAACUUGUAUAAAACUAAUACCCCUGGAUCAAUUUUACAUGAAGGGUUAUUAAACCAGGUUAACUGUCUUCUGUAGCACUGUCUGUGAUUUUCUGAACAAAAUUCAGGGUUGAUAAUCUUUCUCCAACUUCAAAAUAUAGUACAAGAAGUGAAAUUUAUUUCUGUACACCUGUUUGGUAACUGUUGGAAUUUCAGUUCCAGAAAAACAGAAUUGUGUGGAUUGUGAGUCACUUCUGCUGGGGAUAAUUAGAAAGAGAGGAAAUUGGGAGUUGGGAGUGAAAAGGGGAGAUCAAGCAGAUGGCAGAGGAAGGAUGGAGAUUUUCACAGUGAAUCCUUGGGGAGACAAAGGAAGAUAAAGCACAGUAAACUCAUAAGGGUAUUCAGGUGACAUCUGUGAGGAGGAGUCGAGGAGCCGGGAGUCGAGAUAUGAGAGAGAGGAUUUGAUAGACAUGUGAUCUGGGGAGGGGACAGAAGCAUCUUCUGAGUCAUGCAAUCAAGAAGGCAUUGAUCAUUUG